CCGUUGGUCAAGCGGUUAAGACACCGCCCUUUCACGGCGGUAACACGGGUUCGAAUCCCGUACAGCGGU
rnacentral:tRNA from 1 species